CGAGCGGUAGAGAGAAGCUUGCUUCUCUUGAGAGCGGCGGACGGGUGAGUAAUGCCUAGGAAUCUGCCUGGUAGUGGGGGAUAACGUUCGGAAACGGACGCUAAUACCGCAUACGUCCUACGGGAGAAAGCAGGGGACCUUCGGGCCUUGCGCUAUCAGAUGAGCCUAGGUCGGAUUAGCUAGUUGGUGAGGUAAUGGCUCACCAAGGCGACGAUCCGUAACUGGUCUGAGAGGAUGAUCAGUCACACUGGAACUGAGACACGGUCCAGACUCCUACGGGAGGCAGCAGUGGGGAAUAUUGGACAAUGGGCGAAAGCCUGAUCCAGCCAUGCCGCGUGUGUGAAGAAGGUCUUCGGAUUGUAAAGCACUUUAAGUUGGGAGGAAGGGCUUGUAGCAUUAAUACUC
rnacentral:rRNA from 1 species